AUCCUUUCCAGAAUUUAUCAGUGCAUCCAAGUUCGUAAAAGUGUUGGCAUAGAAUUUAUCUUUCAUUGGAAAGUAAAGGGACAACAUAUCUCCAG